rnacentral:rRNA from 1 species
GACGAACGCUGGCGGCGUGCUUAACACAUGCAAGUCGAACGGAGAAUUUUAUUUCGGUGAAAUUCUUAGUGGCGAACGGGUGAGUAACGCGUAGACAACCUACCUCUCAGAUGGGGACAACAUCGCGAAAGCGGUGCUAAUACCGAAUGAUGUAACUUUUCUGCAUGGAAGAGUUACCAAAGGCGGCCUCUAUUUAUAAGCUGUCACUGAGAGAUGGGUCUGCGUCUGAUUAGCUAGGUGGCGGGGUAAUGGCCCACCAAGGCGACGAUCAGUGGCCGGUCUGAGAGGAUGAACGGCCACAUUGGGACUGAGACACGGCCCAAACUCCUACGGGAGGCAGCAGUGGGGAAUCUUCCGCAAUGGACGAAAGUCUGACGGAGCAACGCCGCGUGAGUGAAGAAGGUUUUCGGAUCGUAAAGCUCUGUUGUUUGAGACGAACGUGCAAUUUUUGAAUAAGGAAUUGUAAUGACGGUAUUAAACGAGAAAGCCACGGCUAACUACGUGCCAGCCGCCGCCGUAA